AUUGAACGCUGGCGGCAUGCUUUACACAUGCAAGUCGAACGGUAACAGCACUUCGGUGGCUGACGAGUGGCGGACGGGUGAGUAAUACAUCGGAACGUGCCUAGUAGUGGGGGAUAACUACUCGAAAGAGUAGCUAAUACCGCAUGAGAUCUAAGGAUGAAAGCAGGGGACCUUCGGGCCUUGCGCUACUAGAGCGGCUGAUGGCAGAUUAGGUAGUUGGUGGGAUAAAAGCUUACCAAGCCGACGAUCUGUAGCUGGUGUGAGAGGACGACCGGCCACACUGGGACUGAGACACGGCCCAGACUCCUACGGGAGGCAGCAGUGGGGAAUUUUGGACAAUGGGCGCAAGCCUGAUCCAGCAAUGCCGCGUGCAGGAUGAAGGCCUUCGGGUUGUAAACUGCUUUUGUACGGAACGAAAAGCCCUCUUCUAAUACAGGAGGGUCAUGACGGUACCGUAAGAAUAAGCACCGGCUAACUACGUG
rnacentral:rRNA from 1 species